GUGUUAGUGGAAGCGUCUGGAAAGGCGCGCGAUACAGGGUGACAGCCCCGUACACAAAAGCGCAUGUGCUGUGAGCUCGAUGAGUAGGGCGGGACACGUGGUAUCCUGUCUGAAUAUGGGGGGACCAUCCUCCAAGGCUAAAUACUCCUGACUGACCGAUAGUGAACCAGUACCGUGAGGGAAAGGCGAAAAGAACCCCGGCGAGGGGAGUGAAACAGAACCUGAAACCGUGUACGUACAAGCAGUGGGAGCAUGAGUUUACUCAUGUGACUGCGUACCUUUUGUAUAAUGGGUCAGCGACUUAUAUUCUGUAGCAAGGUUAACCGUAUAGGGGAGCCGUAGGGAAACCGAGUCUUAACCGGGCGUUAAGUUGCAGGGUAUAGACCCGAAACCCGGUGAUCUAGCCAUGGGCAGGUUGAAGGUUGGGUAACACUAACUGGAGGACCGAACCGACUAAUGUUGAAAAAUUAGCGGAUGACCUGUGGCUGGGGGUGAAAGGCCAAUCAAACCGGGAGAUAGCUGGUUCUCCCCGAAAGCUAUUUAGGUAGCGCCUCGUGAACUCAUCUCCGGGGGUAGAGCACUGUUUCGGCCAGGGGGCCAUCCCGGCUUACCAACCCGAUGCAAACUGCGAAUACCGGAGAAUGUUAUCACGGGAGACACACGGCGGGUGCUAACGUCCGUCGUGAAGAGGGAAACAACCCAGACCGCCAGCUAAGGUCCCAAAGUCAUGGUUAAGUGGGAAACGAUGUGGGAAGGCCCAGACAGCCAGGAUGUUGGCUUAGAAGCAGCCAUCAUUUAAAGAAAGCGUAAUAGCUCACUGGUCGAGUCGGCCUGCGCGGAAGAUGUAACGGGGCUAAACCAUGCACCGAAGCUGCGGCAGCGACACUGUGUGUUGUUGGGUAGGGGAGCGUUCUGUAAGCCUGCGAAGGUGGCCUGUGAGGGUUGCUGGAGGUAUCAGAAGUGCGAAUGCUGACAUAAGUAACGAUAAUGCGGGUGAAAAACCCGCACGCCGGAAGACCAAGGGUUCCUGUCCAACGUUAAUCGGGGCAGGGUGAGUCGACCCCUAAGGCGAGGCCGAAAGGCGUAGUCGAUGGGAAACAGGUUAAUAUUCCUGUACCUGGUGUUACUGCGAAGGGGGGACGGAGAAGGCUAUGUUGGCCGGGCGACGGUUGUCCCGGUUUAAGCGUGUAGGCUGGUUUUCCAGGCAAAUCCGGAAAAUCAAGGCUGAGGCGUGACGACGAGGCACUACGG
rnacentral:rRNA from 1 species